rnacentral:rRNA from 1 species
AUUGAACGCUGGCGGCAGGCCUAACACAUGCAAGUCGAACGAGUGGCGGACGGGUGAGUAAUGUCUGGGAAACUGCCUGAUGGAGGGGGCUAACUACUGGAAACGGUAGCUAAUACCGCAUACCAUCAGAUGUGCCCAGAUGGGAUUAGCUUGUUGGUGGGGUAACGGCUGACCAAGGCGACGAUCCGUAGCUGGUCUGAGAGGAUGACCAGUCACACUGGAACUGAGACACGGUCCAGACUCCUACGGGAGGCAGCAGUGGGGAAUAUUGGACAAUGGGCGCAAGCCUGAUACAGCCAUGCCGCGUGUGUGAAGAAGGCCUUCGGAUUGUAAAGUACUUUCAGCGGGGAGGCGUUACCCACAGAAGAAGCACCGGCUAACUCCGUGCCAGCAGCCGCGGUAAUUC